UUCCUGUCAUCGUCCGAGGCGGAGAGUGGGGCGGCGGCAGCCGGCAGGGGCGUCGUGCAGGAGGGGGACGUGGUGGAGGCCGUCCGGGUGGGGCGCGGCUCCGUGUCCGUGGCCUGUGGGGCUGCACAAGGCGCUGCAUCGUGCCGCACCAUGGCAGCCCCGGCGGCGGCGGCGGAGGGGGGCAGCAGGAAGCAGGACGCGCUGCGGUGGCUGCACGACCCCAACCACGUGCUCGGAAGGAUUCGUCGAGCUCGAACGGCUCGAGAGCGAGUACCUCGUCUCGCAAGGCUUUGUCACAGCACAGGAAGGCGUCUGGCGUUUACUCGGCCAGAAUCCUCGACGAGCCAGCGAUUCCCCGCGUCGAUGGCGUCGGUGCCGACCGCUACCCCGGUCCCGGAGCCCGGACCGCGCCGAAGUUAUGGCUCUGGUCCAAGGGCUGCUGGCAAUGCCUGCACACAGGUUCUUGCCACUUCGAAGUCCGACCUUUGUCUACUGCUAUCUUGAAUCCAUUUUGAUUUCUUUCUCGUCUGGUCACAUUUGGUGCGCUUAUGGAUUGGGGAUGCCACAUCCCAUGCGGCAAGUGAUUCGUUCAUUUUGGGGAAGCAAGAGGCGGCAAUAAUAUAAUAUAAAAUAAUAUUGUUCAGGAAUGAGAAUGAAGAAUCGGACUCAGGUUUUGAUGCCUCCCAA